GAAGUGGGACUGUUCUUAAUGGUUCCUCUGAAUAGUGUGGGGGUGCCUCAGUUUCCCCUAGGCAGUUCUUAAGUAUCUAGGGGGUGGAGUAAGGGUGUAUGACCAUUGCAGAGCCCUAGAGGGCAUGUGUGUGCAGGAGUCUGGACACAGAGAGCGGCCAACACCCUGUUUCCUGGCAACUGAUGGCCUGGGCCCUUCCCCCCUGCAAGGUGAGAGCUGAAGGGUUGGAGAACAAAGGAAUCAGGUGACCACCUGGCCCGGGAAAGGAACAAAGCCCAGAGGAGGCGGGGCUGGGGGGGGGUUUCAGUUUGGGGCUGGCUGGGACAUGGAGUGAAGUGCAGACGUGGUUGUCUGGCUCACUGCCCCCCAAAAUGGACCCAGCUGAGGGGUCCCGUUCUCUGCACCUGCAAGCUCUGUUUUAGACCAUGUUCCUGUCGUCUAAUAAACCUUCUGUUUUACUGGCU